rnacentral:rRNA from 1 species
UCGAGAAUCUUCCACAAUGCAGGAAACUGUGAUGGAGCGACGCCGCGUGUUGGAUGAAGCCCUUCGGGGUGUAAACAGCUUUUAUUAGGGAAAAACUAGCGAUGGUACCUAAUGAAUAAGAGGUUGCUAACUACGUGCCAGCAGCAGCGGUAAUACGUAGACCUCAAGCGUUAUCCGGAUUUAUUGGGCGUAAAGCGCUAAAAGGCGGUUUAGAAAGUUGAAUAUAAAAGCCCGGGGCUCAACUCCGGAUCUAUGUUCAAAACUCCUAGACUAGAGGGUAGAAGAGGCAAGCGGAAUGGCCGGUGUAGCAGUAAAAUGCGUUAAUAUCGGCUGGAACACCAAAAGCGAAAGCAGCUUGCUGGGAUACUCCUGACGCUAAAUAGCGAAAGCGUGGGUAGCG